rnacentral:rRNA from 1 species
AUACGGAGGAUGCGAGCGUUAUCCGGAUUUAUUGGGUUUAAAGGGUGCGUAGGCGGGGGAAUAAGUCAGUGGUGAAAACCUGCAGCUUAACUGUAGAAUUGCCGUUGAUACUGUUUUUCUUGAGUAUGGUCAAGGCAUGCGGAAUGUGUAAUGUAGCGGUGAAAUGCUUAGAUAUUACACAGAACACCGAUAGCGAAGGCAGCAUGCUGGGCCUGUACUGACGCUGAUGCACGAAAGCGUGGGGAUCGAACAGGAUUAGAUACCCUGGUAGUCCACGCCGUAAACGAUGAUCACUAGCUGUUGGCGAUAUACAGUCAGUGGCAAAGCAAAAGCAUUAAGUGAUCCACCUGGGGAGUACGGCCGCAAGGCUGAA